ensembl:snoRNA
GUGCAGACAGUUAUCCCUCUCUGAGCUGACGUGUUCUCUGAGGGAGUCAGUCUGCUACAGAAACCUUCAGACUGAGCUUCUAUACUCUGCUGAAAGCUGAAGUGCAGCU